ensembl:lncRNA
CUUUCUCCAUAGCAGAGGUGCUGCAGCCUCUGAGCGAAGCACCUGGAGAAAACCGUUUCCUCUUCUCAUUUGGGGUCGAUGUAGGGCAUGCAAGAGGCAAAUCAUAGAAUCAUAGAAUCGCUAAGGUUGGAAAAGACCCACAGGAUCACCCAGUCCAACCAUCCGCCCUUCACCAAUGGUUCCCGCCAAACCAUGUCCCUCAACACAACAUCCAAACGCUCUUUGAACACCACCAGGGUGGGUGACUCCACCACCUCUCUGGGCAGCCCAUUGCAGUGCCCGACCACCCUUUCAGAGCAGUAGUAUUUCCUAACGUCCAGCCUGAACCUUCCCUGGCGCAGCUUGAAGCCAUUCCCUCUCGUCCUAUCACUGUCACACGAGAGAAGAGGCCAACCCCCAGCUCACUACAACCUCCCUUCAGGCAGUUACACAGAGCAAUCAGGCCUCCCCUGAGCCUCGUCUUCUCCAGACUGAACAAUCCCAGCUCCUUCAGCCGCUCUUCAUAAG